rnacentral:rRNA from 1 species
CCCUUAGGUGGAGGACAACCUCGGGAAACUGAUAAUAAUACUCCAUAGGUCUAGGAUGCUGGAAUGCACUUAGACUCAAAGUUCCGGCGCCUAAGGAUGAGUCUGCGGACUAUCAGGUUGUAGUCAGGGUAAUGACCUGACUAGCCUACGACGGAUACGGGUUGUGAGAGCCAUAACCCGGAGAUGAUAUCUGACAGACGAUAUCGGGCCCUACGGGGCGCAGCAGGCGCGAAAACUUCACAAUGCGCGGAAGCGCGAUGAGGGAAUCCCAAGUGCUUGCACGUUAGUGUAAGCUGUUUUUAUGUUUAAAAAGCAUAGAGAGUAAGGGCUGGGUAAGACGGGUGCCAGCCGCCGCGGUAAUACCUGCAGCUCAAGUGGUGACCGCUAUUAUUGGGCCUAAAACGUUCGUAGCCGGUUUACUAAAUGCCUGGGUCAAUCGUGUAGCUUAACUAUACGAAUUCCGGGUAUACUGUUAUACUUGAGACCGGGAGA